UUGUGUUGUGGCUUGGAGCGGAUGCUUGGGUCGUGGUUGGCACUCGGCACCCUGGUGUGGGGAAGCAGCUGGAGCUGCAGGAGGGAUGUGGUAAAUACCACCGGCUGGAUGCCUGGCAGGCAGGGAUCGGGGGUGGGAUUGGAAACACUAGGGAAAUUUCCAGACCUGCUCUGUAGUCUGGACUAUACGACUGGACUGCUUCUACUUCUGCAGAAAGGCAAUGUGAAUUGCUAUCUCCCUCUCUAUCUCUCUGUCUAUCUCUCUCGCUGCCUCUCCCUUUCUCUCCCUCAUCAUAGCAACUAUAACUGCUUAGCAACGCUGGGUGGGCGGCGGGUUGUCGGGCGGCUGCCGUCUGUGUACUGGGUUGUUGUCAUGCACCUCUCAUCCUUCACCAGCAACGAUGCUCACACUGAAUCCUGAAAACAACAGAUUUUUUUUUUCCUGGUUCUCUGUUGGAUUCACAUCUGGUGACUGGCGAAGCUGUUGAAGUACAAGUGAGCUCAUUGUCAUGUUCAUGGAACCAGAUUAAGACAACCUGUACUUGGUGACAUGGUGCAUUAUCAUGCUGGAAGUAGCCAGUAGAAGAUGGGCAAAAUGUGGCCAUAAAGGGAUGCACAUGAUCAGCAACAAUACUCAGAUCGACUCUGGCAUUCACACCAUGUUCGGUUGGCAUUAAGGUGCCCAGUGCCCAAGUGGGUGCGUGGACUGAUACUCUUGGCACCACAUUCUGACCCUACUAUCUGCAUGUUACAGCAUGUUAAAGCAACAUUUAUCUGAUCUUCAACUGUACAGUCUGGGUGAGUCUGUGCCCAAGUUUUCUGUUCGUGGCUGACAGGAGUGGAACCUGAUGUGGUGCUGUUGUAGCACUUCUGACUCAUGGUCUGACGUGUUGUGAGUUCGAAGAUGCGUUUCUGCUCACCAUGUUUGUAAAAAGUGGUUAUUUUAGUUACUAUUGAUUUCCUGUCGCAAGCAGUCUGGUCAGUCUCUUGUCGACGAGGUGUUUCUGCCAGCAGAACUACUGCUUACUGGAUGGAUUUUGUUUUUCUCACCAUUCUGUGUCACCUCUAGAGACUGUUGAGUGUGAAAAUCCCAGGAGGUCAGCAGUUUCUGAAAUACUCAAACCAGCCUGUCAGGCCCCAACUACCAUGUUCAAAGUCGCUGAGAUCACAUUUUUCUCAGAUUCUGGUGUUUGAUAUUAACAUUAACUGAAGGUCUUGAACUGUAUCUGCAUGAUUUUAUGCACUGGGCUGCUGCCACAUGAUUGGUUAAUUGCAUUAAUGAGCAGGUGUACUUGUGUUCCUAUUAAAGUGGCCAGUUAGUGUAUGCAUGUAUACAUAAAUAUAUCCUUUUUUUUCUGUGCUUGUCUGCAUUAUUGGGAUUUUUAUGUCAUAAUGAGUGUGUCCCAUUCUGUUGCAAUCUGCCAUACUUUACCUCUUUUUCAAAGCUUGUUUUUGUGCCCCAGUAAAUGAGAAAUCUCUAAAAUGUGUACAGUUUGCUUGAGUUUUUAUAACUCAGAGCUAUUUUUCUUUUAAAAAGGAGCUUAUUGUUCAGCAUGGAUGACCUAUGGAACUCCAUUUUUUUUAAAGUCUGCCCACGCAGGGAUGCACACACACACACACACACACACACACACACACACACACACACACUAUUUUGACAUUCCCUUACAGCUUAAACUGUGAAAUCUUAGAAAUGGUGUGUCUUGUGAGGUAGAGUGACUAAUACAGAGUCAGGGAUGGGUCUAAUGUUCAUUUUUUUGAUUAAAAUAAUCCUCUUUAAAACUAUGUGUACAUUAGUGCUUAGUUUUAAGUAGAGAUGGGAAUCUUUCGGCCCUCGAAAGUACUACAUAUUGAAUAUAACACUCGGGAUUGUGCUCUUAUAGGAAAAUAAUCAAUGACAAGAGUUAUUCUGGAGUUGAUUAAUUCUUUUAACAGCAUAAACUCCUCGAGAUCUGUACUAAAAACCUCCCUGUGGUGGA